CCCUAUGGGGUGCAGCAGGCACGAAUUCUUUCCAAUGCACGAAAGCGUGAGAAGGGAAUCCCCAGUGCUAAUGCGAUUAAGUAUUGGCUUUUGCCAAGGGUAAAAACCUUGGCGAAUAAGUGGUGGGCAAGACUGGUGCCAGCCGCCGCGGUAACACCAGCGCCACGAGUGGGAACCACUAUUAUUGGGCCUAAAGCGUUCGUAGCCGGCUUAGUAAAUCUUUUGUGAAAUCGUCACGCUCAACGUGACGGCGUGCAGAAGACACUGCUAGGCUUGGGACCGGGAGAGGUGCGGAGUAUUCGAUGGGGAGCGGUAAAAUGCUAUAAUCCAUCGAGGACUACCUGUGGCGAAGGCGCCGCACUAGAACGGGUCCGACGGUGAGGGGCGAAAGCCAGGGGAGCGAAAAGGAUUAGAUACCCUCGUAGUCCUGGCCGUAAACGCUGUCAGUUAAGUGUUGCGCAUUCAUUAAGGAUGUGCAGUGUCGGAGCGAAGGCGUUAAACUGACCGCCUGGGAAGUACGGUCGCAAGGCUGAAACUUAAAGGAAUUGGCGGGGGAGCACCACAAGGGGUGCGGCGUGCGGUUUAAUCUAACUCAACGCACAGAAUCUCACCAGGGGCGACGGUAGGAUGAUUCUCUAGCUAAAGACUAUAGAGGACGAGCCGAGAGGUGGUGCAUGGCCAA
rnacentral:rRNA from 1 species